UGCAACCUCGUUCCCAGGGCUUUUCCCUUUUUGUCAAUAAAAAGGGAAAAGCCCUGGGAACGAGGUUGUUUGU